GACGAACGCUGGCGGCGUGCUUAACACAUACAAGUCGAACGAAGAGCGAUGGAAGCUUGCUUCUAUCAAUCUUAGUGGCGAACGGGUGAGUAACGCGUAAUCAACCUGCCCUUCAGAGGGGGACAACAGUUGGAAACGACUGCUAAUACCGCAUACGAUCUAAACUCGGCAUCGAGGAUAGAUGAAAGGUGGCCUCUACAUGUAAGCUAUCACUGAAGGAGGGGAUUGCGUCUGAUUAGCUAGUUGGAGGGGUAACGGCCCACCAAGGCGAUGAUCAGCAGCCGGUCUGAGAGGAUGAACGGCCACAUUGGGACUGAGACACGGCCCAGACUCCUACGGGAGGCAGCAGUGGGGAAUCUUCCGCAAUGGACGAAAGUCUGACGGAGCAACGCCGCGUGAGUGAUGACGGCCUUCGGGUUGUAAAGCUCUGUUAAUCGGGACGAAAGGCCUUCUUGCGAAUAGUGAGAAGGAUUGACGGUACCGGAAUAGAAAGCCACGGCUAACUACGUG
rnacentral:rRNA from 1 species